rnacentral:rRNA from 1 species
AUGCGGCUGGUCGAGGCGCUCGGCCUGCACGUCGCGUGGCUGCAGGCCUCGGCAUGGGCUAGGAGCGGCGGCUGCUUCGUCGUCGUCACGUGGGGGGACUGGGAUCUCCGCACCAUGCUGGACACGGAGUGCCACUUCAAAGAGCUCGCCAAGCAUCCCUGCUUCAACCACUGGAUCAACCUCAAGAUCCCCUUCGCCAUGGCGAUGGGCGGUGGCCGGUGGGCUGCUCUGCGGUGGGCCGUCGAGGCAGCAGGGCUCCAGUGGAGGGCCGCCCGCACUGCGGCCUCGACGAUGCUCGUAACACGGCACGGCUUCUCGUGGAGCUCAUGCUGCGUGGCGUCCAGCUCAGCAUCACGAGCUCCCUGCAGGCCCCAUCGCCUCAGGUGA